UUAUAAAUGUAUAGCAGGCAUAAAAAGGCAUUUGCUUUAAAAAGUUUGACUGUUGGUCUAUGCAAAGUUCGCAUUAUGAAUUUCGUACCUUUAUAAUAACGUUUAAACCAUAUUGCAUAAACCCUGCUACUUCGUAUUUUGAAUGACAGCUAAACAGUUAACAUGGAGAAUAAAUUUCAUCUGAAGGAGGAAACACUCAUUUGGUUUACUCUGAUAUUUAAUUUCUUUGCUACUUUAGUUAGCGACAGGAUUAUAAAUAUUUUAAUGACAACUAUCUCUGAGUAUAUCUUUAGCAAUAACAACAAACAGUAGAUUGUGCGUCCUAAUUAUUAAAAUAUACA